ACCCGAGUGGCGAACGGGUGAGUAACACGUGGGUGAUCUGCCCUGCACUUCGGGAUAAGCUUGGGAAACUGGGUCUAAUACCGGAUAGGAGCCAUCUUUAGUGUGGUGGUUGGAAAGUUUUUCCGGUGUAGGAUGAGCUCGCGGCCUAUCAGCUUGUUGGUGGGGUAAUGGCCUACCAAGGCGGCGACGGGUAGCCGGCCUGAGAGGGUGUACGGCCACAUUGGGACUGAGAUACGGCCCAG
rnacentral:rRNA from 1 species